CCGUCCGUGCCGUGCGCUCUGGCCCCCGCGGGCCUGGCUCCAGGCGCAGCCCCCUGCCGACUCUCGAAGUAAAGGGCAGUCCGGCUCCCGGGCGGCGGCAGCGCGAGGGCGCACCCGCGGGUCUUGGCAGGGUCCGGCGGCCGCCCCUCACCAGGUCUCUGCUCUUCCCCCUGUUUGUGGAGUUCGGGGCGCCCGCCCAGCUCCGAGCUGGGGAAGUGACAUCGUGGAGACGGAGGUGGCAACAUCCCCGCCCCCGGCGGCUCGGCAAACCGCGGAUGAGUCCAGGGAAGCCGUGGCGCGCUGCCUCCGAGAAGCCUUCCCGUCCUCUCCCUGCACCACGUGCGGAUGCACACCCUGGCUGAGCUGAACAGCGACAUGCAGAAGAGAUCCCUGCCGCGGCCUGAAAGCAGCGCGCCCCCUGCGCCCCCUGCGCCCCUGGCCACAAGGGCCCCAGUGGCAGUUGCCAGACCCCUUGGACGGAGAGGAGAGGGCUGGGGCUGGCGGGGCGCAGCGCUCCUCCUGCAGUAGGGAAUUUUGUUUCCCCUCCUAUUUGCUGUCUGGCACUAGAGCCCAGGCUGAGCAGCCCAGCCUGCCAGCUGGUGGGGCCCCUCAGCCGGCAGCAGUGCCCCAGGUCUUCCUCCUGAAGGAGGGGUCCUGAGGGCAAGGGUUUUGUAUGUCACAGCUGCUGUAAAUGGUCAAGAUUGUCCAUGGCAGAGGGAGCUGGGGCAGCCACUUCUGCCUGAUCAGCACAGCCACGCCCUGCGUCUGGACCUCUGCUUCUUCCAAGUUGGGAAAGAACUGGAUGCUUUAUGUUAAAGCAGGGGUGGGGUGGGCUGGGGGAAAUGCUGUGCAUUGGAAGGGCACGGCCCCGUGCUGGACACCGGGGGAGGUGUGGGGCCGCCGUGGCAUCCUGGUGGGAUGCAGGUGUAUCCAGUGGUCAAUGGUGGAUGUGCGUGGGUAUGGACAGCAUGUGCCUCAGAGCUGGACCACGUGGAGCUUGAAUAAAGGUGCUGGACUGAGCCUCUGCCAGGUCUCUGCCCCGUCCCCCGAGUCUGACUGCCACCCCUGAGAUUCAGGCCCCCUGCCUAGGGUGUAGGGAGGGAUCUGGGGCCUCCGGGGAUGGGUCACUGUGCCAAGGGUAUCCUGGGCUGGACCCUUGCCCUGCUGGCUUCUUCCCUGAACCGUGGUCAAGGCCCAGCCUGCCCCCCUGGCCCCCAGUGACAGGGAAGACUCUCAGGGAUGGGCUGAGCCAGAGACAGCUCCUUCUGUCCUCGGGCCGCCUGGGGGGAGCCUCCCGAUUACCUUGAGCCCCCUGUGGGCCAGGCAGUGUGCUAGCUGUCACAUUGUGGGUUCCGAAAUCACCUUCCCAACAUCCUGGAGGCGAGGACGUCAUUGUCCCCAUUCGAAGAUGAGCAAACAGAGGCCCCUGCAGACUCAGGGAUGGUGCCAAGGACACGCAGGGGCCCGGGGGUGGGCUGGUGCCCCUCAGCAGUGGGGGCUGGCACCUGCUCCCACCGUGGCCGCUUAGCGUGCACUGAGCAGAGUGGGGAGUGCACCUCCCUCAGCGUCUCUCCUCCUGGUCCCCCAAAUCUCGUCCCCUAUUGAUUCCCCGGGAUAAGUGCUUCUCCCAAAGCGGGGGCAGGGCUGAGAAGUCACUUCAUCCUGGGCACGGCCCAGCGUCCCUUACUGGAUCAGAACCCGGCAGGGAGCACCCUGCAUUUUGUUGGGGUGGGGGUGGGGUGGGGAUGGACAAUCUUAAAGGGAAUGUGACCCCAAGCCCCCACCCCACCUGGCGCCUUGCCUUUGUGGUGUGGAGGCCACAGACACCGCCCAGGAGAAACCAGAGCACAGGCUGGCUCUGGGGUUUGCUGCCCCCUGGCGUCUUGCAGCCUGUCCGUGGGGAAAGCCUGGCUCGAGCAUCUGCAGCUCCCAGGACGGGAAGGCGCUCUGAGGUCUCCCCCUGUUGGAGGCGAAGGGAGAGGUCCCUUUGGGGCUCAAGCCCGCCCCAGCCUCAGGGGCGGGGCACAGUGGGGACAGACGACCGGGAAAUGCCCAGCCUGGGCGGGUCUCUGGUGGGUCCUGAGAAAUGGAUGGGCUGUGAGGUUCAGGAGGAACUUACCAUCUGGGGAAGCAUUGUCUGCGAGGAGGAAGGCUGACCUUGCACAGAGAGGGACUCGAGAGGAUGGGUCAGCGUUGGGCGGUGACGGCAGCAGGCUGUGCUAUUGAUGUGCUGUGCUGUUUAAUGCUGCUGCUGUGUCUGGGCCUGGUGCGGCUCUAGCUCACGGGGUCCUGAGCCCCCCGUUAAUGAUUGCUCCUCCAUGCCACCGUCAGGGUUCUAGUUGCCCCAUCUGUCAGCACGUCUCUCUUCUGUGGGAGGGGACAGCCCCCUGUGCCCCGUUACCUGGCAUGCAGUAGGUGCUUAAUAAGUGCAGGCUAAAAAGAGCAUGCCUCCCUGGAGGCCUGAGGAGCCCUGGACUCAGCGUAGGGCCUGGCUGGCUCAGGACCCUCCCAGCUUCCCUGGCAGGGGCAGGCAGAGACCCUCAGCUAUGGGUGACCACCCUGGGCCUGGGGCAGACGCCACCCCCUCCCAGCCCAGGCCGAUUUCGGGGCCUUUGCACAAGUCAGGCCUGGAGCUGCGGACACCGCCCUCUGCCUUCUGGGUUGGUCGGGCAGUUGGUCAGGAUGGCUGGUUGAAGACUGCAGGGAGCCGAUGUGUCACCUGCCAUAUAUUUGAGCAGCAGUAUUGGGGGCCCCCCGGAAACAUAUCUUAUUUGGGGGCUGAUUGAGCACUUGUGUCCCAGGACCUUCUGUAGAGGCCUGGGGACGUUUAGCGAGUGAUGAGCAGCCCCUGCCUCAGUGAGCACCCCCACGCAGCUCCCGGUGUCCCAGCCUCUCCAGCAGGCGGGUGGGCGCCAGCAUGUCCAUGCAUAGGUGAGGCUGGGGCUCGGGACUGCCCCAGACAUGCUGCUCGAAUGAGUGAGGAGCGAGGCGCCUCUCAGCACGUGUGGCCACACACACCCCGACGUUUACCCUCGUCUGUUCCACGUCUCCUUUGUAAAAUUACAGCCAGCGACCAUGUUUGAACAAAGAGAAAGGCAAAGUAGAGCAAUCCUUUCGACUCCAUGGUGACAACUCGGGGAAAAAGAUGAUUACGGUCUCUGUUAAAAAAGAAACUAUCUCUUCAAGGCAGGCGGAAGCGCACGCUAGGCCAGGAGGAACCGCACAUCUGCCACAGCUCGCCCACUGUCGGCGGGGCGUUUCCUGUUUUUGGGCUGAGGCGGAGGCUGGCCCGCUGUGCCUGGGCCGCCCGCUGACAGUGAGGGGUGCACGGAGGCCCGGGGGCCUCGGGCUCUGGUUGGACAACUUUGUACGCCACUGAAGUGCAAACAUCCGUUCAGAGUGCUUCUCAUCUGACUUUUUUGUUGUUGCACUUUUUAUUUUGAGAUAGUUCACAGGGAGUUGUAAGAAAUCAUACAGAAAGAUCCCGUGUACCUUUCACCCAGUUUCCCCCGUUGGUAACGUCUUGCAAAACUACUGCGCAGUGUGUGUGGGGGUGUUGACACUGAUGUGGUCAAAACAGAACCAGCACCACGAGGCUCCCUCCUGCUUUCUUUUAACAAACAAAUUUGAUGUAUUUUAAAAAUUGCGAUGAAAUAUAUAUUACGUAAGAUUUACCAUUUAACCAUUUGUAAGUGUACAACUCAGUGGCCUUAAGCACAUUCGCGUUAAUGUGCAACCAUCACCACCAUCCGUCUCCAGAACUUUUAUGUCAUCUCAGUAGGAACUCUGUCCCCAUUGAGCGCUAACUCCUCAUCUCGCUCCCCCAGCCCCUGAACCUCUGUCCUACUUUCUGCCCCCUGACUCCUCGAGGGACCCGAGCUCCCUUCUGGGGAAAUGGUGGGGUACGUGGGGCUGGCCUGGUGGCCCGGCCGUCACCAGCAAUGACUGUUAAUAUGGCUCUUGAUCAGCCUUUUUCUUGUAAAAGUGACACGUGAUGUUACAAAAACUCACGCAGUGCGGAACAGACCACAGCAGAAAGUGGAAGUUUGUUGUUGGCGAGAGCUCUCCCCACCCACCCUGAGGCACAGGCACCCGGAAUUUUUCGGGACACAGAGAAACAUACACACGCAGACAUGCUUUUUUUUUUUUUUUUUUUUUAACGCAUCACAGGUUGAGCUUCUCUGUCCCCUUUCAAGCCUCUCUGCCUCCCUGCCCUCAGGGCUGGGGUGGGAGUGGGUGUGGACGCAGUUGGUGGUGUGGGGGUCCCAGAUCUUUUAGCAAAUCACCUUACCAGAGCUGUCUCCCGGGGGUCAACAUUAGCGAGAGAAAGAGCACUGGGUUCGUCUUGUGGCUGCUUCACCUGGAGAACCCCAACAGCGGCCAGCACCUUGCAGCCACCACCACGCCGCACCUGCGCCCCGAGAAGUUGGGACGCUGCCCCAUCACAGUGAGAGGACACACCUGCGGGGACCGGGGGCCUUCGUGAGACGUGUUGGGCAGGAAUGGUGGCAUCUAGGGGGUGCUGGGUGAUUUUGGUCGUGCUGGAUUGAGUGCUGGAGGAGCGGGUGCUCCACGAUGGGGAUCUGAAUGCAUCCUGUCGAGGAUGUAAGCAGAAGGGCAUGGCUGACAUUGUGUGGGUGGUGAGGGAGGGAGCAGCAGUCACCCGUAUUUGCCAGGGCGGCGGUAUUUGGUUGUUUUUGUGGCGUGACAGUGACUGUUUGUCUGAGUUCAUACCUGUCUGUGUAUCCUUGUCGAUGUUGACGUGCCAUGACAUUAAUUUACCUGGAGAACACCAAGGCCGGCUGAUAGCGCCAGGCCAGCUCUAGGCUGUCGAGGGCUUUCCUCUACCUCGCAUCUGCCCAGUGGGUCUGUUCCGAGUGCCCACUCUGUGCCAGGUGUUGGGGACGUAGCUGUGAGUGGCGGAGAAACCUCCCUGUCCUUGGGAACUCGCGUUCUUGUUGGAGACUCUUUGCACUGAAUUGUGUCCCCCAAAUUCAUAUAUUGAAGACCUGACCCCCAGGGUGACCGAAUUUGGAGGCAGGGCUGUCAGGAGGUCGUUACGGUUAAAUGAGGUCGUAAGCCUGGGGCCCUGACCCGGUAGGACUUCAGAAGAGAAAGAGACAUCAGGAAUGCUGGUGCACAGAGAAAAGGCCGCGUGAGGACACUGGGAGAAGGUGGCCAUCUGCGGGCCAAGGAGGGAGGCCUCAGGAGACCAGCCAGCCUGCACCUUGAUCUCAGCCUUCCAGCCUCCAACUGAGAGAAGUAAAUUUCUGUUGUUUAGGCCACCCAGGCCAGGGGACAUUGGCAUGGCAGCCCUCUGUGACCCACACGAGCCCCUUCCAGGCAGUCCCCACCCCUGGUCCAGGCAUGUGUGACCUGCUUUCUCUGCCUCUGCCUUGCACCUGCCUGUUCCAGACUUUCACAUCAACGCAGUCACACUCUGUCGCUCCUUGGGGUCCGGCCUCUUCACUCAGCAUAAUGACCGCGAGGUCCCUCCAUGACGCUGUGUAUCAAUAUCACUCUUUCUUAUCACUGAGUUGUAUCCCGUUUUAUGACUAUGCCACCAUAUGUGUAUCCAUUCACCUGUUCAUGGUGUCUGGGUGGCUGCCGGUUCUUGGUUAAUGUGCGUAAAGCUGCUAUGAAAGUCUGUAAACAGCUUUUGGUGUGGACGUAUAUUUUCCUUUGUCUAGGUUAUUUACCUAGGAGUGGAAUGGCUGGGUCAGAUGGAAAGCGUGUGGUUAACUUUGUAAGCGUUUGCCAAACCGUCAUCCAAAGUGGUCGUACCACUUUCCAUUCCCACCAGCAGUGUCAACAGAUCCAGUAACGCCAUAUCCUCGUCAAUACCUGAUAUGGUCAGACUUUACCCUUAGCCACUCUGAUAGCUGUGAAGUGGUAUCUCCUUGUCAUUUUAAUUUGCAUUUCCCUGUUGACUAAUGAUGCUGAGCAUCUUUGCAUGUGCCGUCUGUGUGUCUUCUUUGGGGAAGGAUCUGUUCAAAAAUCUUGACCAUUAAAAGAAUAUUGAGUUGUUUGUCUUCUUAUUGAGUUGUAAGAAAUUUUUAAAAAAUAUAUCUUUUGGGCAAGACAUGUGUGUUGUGGAUAUUUUCCCCAGCAGGUGGUUUGCCUUCUCAUUUCCUUAAUAUCAAACUUUGAAGAGCAAAGUCUUUAAUUUGGAUGAAGUCCAAUUUAUCUGUUUUUCUGUGAUGGUUUAUGUCUUUCAUGUCCUCUCUAAGAAAUCUUUGCCCACUUCAAGGUCACAAAGAUUUUCUCCUAUGUUUUCUACCAGAAGUUUAAUAAUUUUAGCUUUUACAUUUAGGCCUAUGGUCCCUUUGGGCUACUUUUUGCUCGUGGUGAGGGUAAAGGCUGAGCUUCAUUUUUGCCGCCUUGAUUCUCCCUGUUCCAGCAACUGUUGCCUACAAAGAUUACCUUUCCCCUGUGGGAUUACUGUGGCGCCUCCGACAACACUCUGGUGAUCGCACACGAGCGGGUCUGUUUGUGGACUCCGUCUCUUCCGUCUCGUCGACCGGUUGGUACUCCUCCUGCCUACACCAUCUGGGCUGGAUCCACGAGGCUUACAGCUCACGUCCUUCAGCCCUGCUCUUCCUUUUCAAAAUUGUUUUGGCCACGAUAACUCCUUUCUGUUUUCACAUGAGUGUAAAAAAUCAGCGUAUCAAUUUCCACAAACAAGCCUGCUGCAGUUUGAUUGGGACUACAUUGAUCUCUGGUUACUUGGGGGAGAACUGACAUCUUGCCGAAACCCAGUCUUCCACUUUGUGAGCAUCGUACCUUUCCAUUUACGGCGUCCUCUGUCCCCUCCCUCGGCAGGGCCUGCACAGGCCUGCACACAUUCUGUUGAAUUUGUCCCAGAUGCUUCAUGUUUUUAAUGUGAGUGUGUUCUUGCUCUUUUAAAUUUCAAAAACCCAUCUGUAUUUUCUAAACUGUUGGCCUUGUGUCCUGUGACGUCACUAAAUAAGCUGUGUAGGCCACUUAGCCUUUCUGUAGACAUUGUAGAACUUUUAUAUAUGUGGUCACGUUGUCUGCGAAGAAGCAAUGUUUCCCUUCCGCUCCCAUCGCCGCGCCUUCUCUUUCUUUUUCUUGCCGCGUUGCCCUUUCUGAGACUCCAGUGCAGUGUUGUGCAGAAGGGGAUGAGUGGGCGUCCCUGCCUCGUCCUGUUCUUGGGUGAAAGCAUGCCGUCUUCACCAUCGACUGAGACGUUGGCUGUGGGAGUCUCUCAGCUGCCUCUGCAGAUUUGGGGGCUCUGUUUCUGCACAGCCCCCGGCCUCUAGAACCCUGCAAUCUCCAAUCGCUGUCCUCUUCUUUUGGCUGCUGUCUCUUUCUGUGUACAGUAUCCUUUGCACGUCAGCCUACAGUUUUGGUUUUGCAUGCAGUAAGACAAUGUCUGCAUUUAACUGGAGGAUUGAGACCAUUUCCAUUCCAUGUAGUUUCCUGUGUGGUUGGGUUUGGGUCCAUAUUUUGAUAAUUAUUUGCUGUUCUUUGUUUCUUGUUUCCUCCUUUAUGCCUUCUUCUUGACGAAUUGAGUGUUUUUUGGGUAUUUCAUUCAUCUGCACUGUGGGCUUAUUUGCUACACAUCUUCAUUUUAUUUAUCAGCGGCUGCUCUAGGGCUUACAAUAUGCACCUGUCCUCACCUCCCACUAUCACCCGCUUGACAGACCAUGAAAAGCACCUUACACAGUCCACUCACGUUUCCCUGCCCCAGGCUUCUUGCUCUUAUUGUCAUGGAUUUUACUUCCACGUGCUGUGACCAUGACAGCACAUUGUUAUUUUUCUUUAAGCUUUCUAUUAUUUUUAAAAGAAAUUUUAAAAAUGAGAAAAAGAUGUCUCAUGUUUACUGACAUAUUUACCAUUUCUUUCACUCUCCAUUCCUUUGAGUAGAGAUGCGUUUUCAUUGGGUACCGACUUCCUUGUCUUUGAAGAAAGUCCUUUCACAUUUCUUGUAAUGAAAGUCUGCUGGUGAUGGACGACCGGAGCUUUUAUAGAAAUCAUGAAAUGGAAGUCCUCAGUCUUUGUUGUGCUUCCAUUUUGGGCAAAUACCUUCACUGUGUAUGGAAGUCUAAGUUGAGAUGUUCUCCAGCGUGUUCUAGAUGUUUCUAUCGUCCCUGACUUGCACUGUUUCUGGUGAGAAUUCAGCCGUGCCCCUUAUCUCUGCUUCUCUGGAUGUGACGGUGUUCGCUGAGACUGAUUUGGGGUUUUUCCCUUUAUCCCUGUUUUUCAGGAAUUUGAUUGUGAUUUUCCUUGUUAUAUGUUCUUUCUUGUUUAUCCUUCCUGGGGUUUGUAGGCAUUCUUUUGUUUGUAGGUUUAUACUUUUUCUUUAAUUUUUCUGUUCUUGCCUCUCUCUUGUUUUGUAAGACUCCACUUAUAUUGAUGUUAGACAGCUUGAUAUUUUCCAGGCAUCACUGAGGCCCUGUUUUUUUUUCCCUUUUCUUUUUUUCUCUUUGUACCUCAUUUUGGAUAGUUUCUAUUACUAUAGCUUCAAGUUCAUGGAUAUCAUCUUGAAGUGUCCAGCCUGUGUUAACCCUACUUUUAUGGGCCAAAUUGCGUCCCCCCAAAUUCGUAUGUUCAAACCCUAACCCCCAAUACCUUGGAAUGUGGCUAUAUUUGGAGAUAGGGCCUUAAAGGUGGUAAUUAAGGGUAACUGAGGCCAUCUGGGUGGGCUUUAAUCCAAUCUGAGAGCAGGCCUAUGGAGAAUAGGAAAUUUGGACACCCAAAGAGACCCCAGGGAUGCGCAUGCACAGAGAAAGGACCAUGUGGGGACAUGGUGAGAAGGAGGCCGUCUACAAGGCAAGCCGAGAGGUCUCAGGGAGACCAGCCCCACCACAGCUUGCUCGUGGACUCCAGCCUCCAGCCUGCGAGGCGAUAAAUUCCUGCUGUUUACCCAGGAUACUGCGGUAUUCGUUAUGGCCACCCGAGCCGGCUAACACACCUGCCCAGCUCAUUCUUCACUGGAGAUUUUAUAAAGUUCCAUUUGGUUCUUUCUAUAUCUUCCAUUUCCCUCUUUAUGUUUACAUUUCCCUUUAAAAAUGUUUGAAAGACUGUCUUAGGGUGUUGUCUGGUAAUUCCAUCAUUGCGGUCAUCUUUGGGUCUAUUUCUCCUGAUUCACGUUUUUGCUGGUCACAUUUUCCUGCUUCUUGGCAUGUGGGUAAUUUUUGCUGGGAUGCUGGGCAUGGUGUUUUUACUUUCUUUAUGAUCUGGAAUUUUCUCUUUUACUUUCAGUCCUCCUGGAGAGAGGGCUGUGCGUGUCCGGCCUGUGCUCAGUGACUUGGGCUUCGCUUUGAUCUUGGGUGGGACUCUGAGCUUAGUUACACUAGGGCUAGAGCAGCCUUACUCCAGGCCGGUUCAGCCCUGGGGAGGCGCGGCCUAUGGGGUCUCUCCUGCAGGCCAAAGGGACCAUUGAGGACAGUCAAGUCCAGCUGGUCAGCACUCCAAUGUCCCCUCACCCUGUGUGAGCUCUGGAGUCACUCGGUGCACAGCUCCUAGUGGCUCACUGUGCCGUACUGUGGAGUUUUAUCCGUGACACACACGGCAGGUUCUUGAGCCAAUGCUAAGGGGACCUUGCCGAUGGCUGUAGCUUUUGUCUGUGCAGCUCCCUCCUUUCGGGAGCUCUGCUUGCGUGUCCACCAGCUUCAGCCGUCCUGAGGCCUGAUCCCUUUCUUCUUAACUCAGCAGGACUGCCCUGGUCUGCUGGGGAUCCCAGUUCCUUUUGCCUAGUUUCUGAACACAGCUGAUUCACGGUUUUCAGUUUCUUGCUUUGGGGGCAGAGGGUAAGUCCAGGCUGUGUUACUCCAUCACGGCAGCAGGCAAGAGGGACAGUUCCCCUUCGACGGCACUUAGGUUAUUUCCAAUGUUCUCUGGCACCUUCAAAGGCUGAUGUCCUCUCCUGUACGUCCACCUCUUCCCGUUGGAAUGAGAAUACUUACUUCCAGGGUGGAAUUCAUACACGACAUUGCCUGAUCAAAGGGUGCAAUGGUCUAAGACAUUUAACAUUUACUCCCAAACUGCCUUCCAGAGUGGCUGGCCCACUGCAUAGUCACUCCGUGCUCCAUGGAGUUCACCAUCCUCAGUCCUGCUGGCUUCCCCUGGGCCCAGUCUUGACCUGUAAACACCUCUAUGAGGAACUUUCUCUUCCCUGUCACCAGUGAGUCUGCACAUCUUGUCUUCCUCUUUCUUGGGCUGCUCUGCCCUUUCCUCUUUCUUCUCUUUCCCAGCCGUCCAUCCUCACCUUCUCCUGCUCUUGGCCAAUGGUCCCCGGGCCCAGCUGCCCAACGUGGAGCCAGGAGGCCCCCGAUGCUCCCAAAGGCCCCCUGGGUGCUGGUCCCAUUCCGAGGGCUGGGAUUGUCCAUUUGCUUGUUGAACCAGGGGCAGGAGGAGCCCUCCACCUUCAACAUUUCCCAGAAGUCUCUCUUGGAGCUGAAACCAGGGAGGCAGCAUUGAAUCAUUGCCAAGUGGCCGGAGCCACUUGUUUGGUCCAACCCUCCUUUGCUCCUUCUGGAGAGGUGGCCUCCCUUGGCCUGGCCCCAGCUCUCCGCCUGGUCUCCUGACCUGUAAAGCCGUGGUCCCUAGGGCCCUGACCGUCUAUUCACACAGCGUAACUGUGAGGGUUAGGAUGGCAGGAGGGCCUGUAGGUGAGGUGAGGGCCAGACACCAGGGAGCACGGCACAGGUAUGAGCUGAGAUUGUUUCUGAGGACAGGAGAGACAUCAGGAUGACCUCCCAGGAUGAGCCGGCAGAGGGAAUGGCCUGCGUGGGGCUCUGGGAUGGAAGGAGCUGGAAUAAGCAGGGACGCAAAGGGGUUGGUGUGGCUGUAGCAAAGGGAGACAUGAGUUGGAGAGGCAAGUCUGGGCUGAUGGGCAGGCCUUGGGGGGCGGGGGGGGGGAUUUGGUGAGGGGCCCCAGAGGGUGCAGGGAGGGGGCGACCGUGACCGUGGUGUCAUGGGCAGCUAGGGGUGUCCCUAGCUGCUGUCUGGACUAGGCAGAGCAGGGGAGCCAGAGUGAGGGCGGGGUGCCGAGGUGAGAGCAUGUGCCUGGAGGGAGCAGACCUCUGAGGAGCCUCUUGAGGCAGCCUCUCCAUGCCCACAAGGGGUCCCGGUGUGGGUGCAGCAAGGUGAAGCGUGGCACACAGCUGCCUCCCAGGGCCCUGAUUUUGCCAGGGAGCAGAGGCGGUGGGGGAGUUGUGGAGGAGGAGUUGGGAGGGCUGGUGGGGGACUGGGCACGGGGCGCUGGGGAGACGUCUGAGACGAGAACUGAUACCCUGGUCUGGAGCUAGACAAAACCAGGUCUGGGCGCCCACAGCACCCCCAGUUCUGCUCCCAGGACAAGCCUGGAUUUGAGCAGGCACCUGGGCCUCUGGGAAGUCCCUGGUGGCCCAAGCACACUCUGCCCCUCCUCUGACCCCUGUCCCAACCCCCAGUUCUCUCCCGUCUGUCCCAGGCAUGAGGCUGAGGAGUUGCCGUCCUCUCCGUCCACCUCUACCCGCACCCUGAGAGUCGGACACCGACUCCUGCAGGCCCUGCGCCUCUGGGCGUCCCUGGAGUUGACCUCUCUCCACGCCCUUCUGCCCUCCCUGCCCUGCUCCUCACCUCCCAGAGGCUCCCACCUGGGAGACAUCACGCCCCUGUCUACUCCGUCCACCCUCCCCACCAGCCUGACACCUGCACAGUCUCCCGUGCACAGGACGCACCCGGGGUCUGCAGCCUCCCUCAAGGGGCCAGCCUCGGCCAGCUCUGUGUCGAGGCCCCCUUCCAUGCCUCACCAGGGCUGGACCCCAAGAACUUCCCGGCCAUAUUGUUCAACCCACAUCUUUCCUCCGGGAAUGCCCUUUCUCACCUUGUCCCCCAGCAGGACUCCUGUUCAUCUUCAGAGCCCCAGCCCACAUCUGCUGCCCAUACCCAGCCCUCACCACAUGACGCUGACAGUGGCUUUUAGACUCAGCUCCCUCACUGGACCAUGAGCCCCAGGGGGUGAGGCCCAGGCUGCUUUGCCUCUGAGCCCACUUCCCAGCCCGGGGCUCCCACAGAGCAGGGGGCUGAGGCCACCAAGAAUGCAGAGGAGAGGAGGGGGGGCCUCAAGGUGGGCUUUCAGGACGACCCUGCCUCCCACCCUCCAGGCCUGGGCUCAAGCACCCUGGUUCUCAGCAUCUCUCCCAUGCUCGGGACCCCAGAGAUCUCCCUCUCAAGAAGAGGAGGAAAUGUGAUCAGGGAUUCCUCAGCCCAUCGGGAGGUGUCCUGGCCGGGAGCUCCGGGUGUCGGCGAUGUGGUGGGGUGGGCAGCCCCUGGGAGGGAACGGUGGGCGCAGGGGCAGGUCUCAAGGGAUAGCCAGGUGAUGGAGGCUCCUCUUGCUGCGGCAGAGUUGGGUUUGGGGAGAGGCUGAGCCUCAGUUUCCCCAUCUGCACUGGGGGGAGGCAUGCACAGAUGCCUCUGAAGCUCCUGCCGGGCCCUCCCCUGGGCCCUGAGGUUGGGCACCCUGCAGGAGCCCUGGGGUCCCUGGACACAGGCUCUGGCUGAGUCAGGAGAGGCGGCUUCCCUGGAUCCCAGCCCACAUCACAGGGAUGACUGGAAGGAGAGGCCCUGGGGUGCGGGCUCUACCUGCCCCCCCCCAUAAGUAAGGGGCACGAGAGCCCCAUGGAGCCUCAGACAGGUGCGGGGCUCCCUGGGGCGUACCCUGGUCCUGCCCUGCUCCUGAUUCCUGGAUGCCUGGGGCCGAGGAGCAGACGCGACAGCCAGCCAUGGGGACUCCUGGUGCGUGGGCAGGAGCCCUGUCUGCACCCUCCUCCUGUCUCAUUUCCUCCUCAAUGAGUCUGGCGCCCAGAACUGAGCCUGGCCUGAACUACUGGGUGCUGAAUGAGUGAGUGAACAGCGAGUGAGGAGUGAGCACAGGAAUGGUGAUGCUGAGACUGGAGCCCAGCCCUUCGUCUUCCUGCUAAAAUGGACACAGAACUCCUGCCACGGAAUUUGCAUUCCAGGGGGGAGGUGGGAAGACAAGGAACCAAUAAGACACCAGGGUCACUGGGUGAGGGUGCAGGGGGUGUGGUUGGAAACUCAGGCAUCAGGAAAGCCUCCUGAAGAGGCCAUGGCUCAGCAGAGACCUGGUACAGAAGGCUCCCUGGGCGGGUCUCCCCUGCUGCCUUGGGGCGUGACGCUGGCUCAGCAUCUAGGGCCUUGAGUCUUGAGGUGGCUGGGUGGGGAGGGAUGGGCCAGGGGUACAGGGGCUGAGCCAGCCAUGGGACUCCCCAUUCCAGCUGAGACUCACUGAUGCCUGUGGCCAGCGAGGCAGCAGGAAGCCCAAGUGCUAAAGCUCGUCCUGCUGGCAGGGGGCUAGGGACAGCAGCCAGGGAAUGAGGGGUCGUGAGGAGAGACAUGGAGCCUCUGCGAGGCUGGGGGCCACCCCCAUGGAGCCCGGCACCCAAGGCUGAUGCCCUGAGCCUGGCCUUGUAUCUCCUCCUUCUGGGGUCCCCCCGCUACACCCUGGCGACGCCCCAGUGCAAAGAGGAGGAGUACCCAGUGGGGACCGAGUGCUGCCCCAAAUGCAGUCCAGGUAGGUGCCGCCCCGAGGGACCUGCCCUGGGGGCCCCUGGGAGCCAGCGCUGUGGGGAGAUGCUCCAAUCUUCCCUGCCAGGAGCCCCUCCUUUCACAGCACUUCUCUAGGGGGAUAUGAAGCCCCCGGGGCAGGGGCACUGACGGGGAGGACCCGAGCCCCCAGGGCCGCCCCCCCAGCUUCGACACUUCCCACCAAGACUCUCACAGCCCUCUGCA